rnacentral:rRNA from 1 species
UACAGAGGUCUCAAGCGUUGUUCGGAAUCACUGGGCGUAAAGGGUGCGUAGGCCGCACGGUAAGUCAGAGGUGAAAUCCCGGAGCUCAACUUCGGAAUUGCCUCCGAUACUGCCGUGCUUGAGGGCUGGAGAGGAGAUUGGAAUUCACAGUGGAGCAGUGAAAUGCGUAGAUAUUGUGAGGAACACUAGUGGCGAAGGCGAAUCUCUGGACAGUUCCUGACGCUGAGGCACGAAGGCUAGGGUAGCGAACGGG